GCCGGAUGUGGUGGCGCACACCUGUCAUCCCAGCAACACGGGAGGCUGAGGCAGGAGGAUCGCGAGUUGGAGGCCGGCCUCAGCCACUUAGUAAGGUUCUGAGCAACUCAGGGAGACCCUGUCUCUG
rnacentral:sRNA from 1 species